UGGGGAAUAUUGGACAAUGGGCGAAAGCCUGAUCCAGCCAUGCCGCGUGUGUGAAGAAGGUCUUCGGAUUGUAAAGCACUUUAAGUUGGGAGGAAGGGCAGUAAGCGAAUACCUUGCUGUUUUGACGUUACCGACAGAAUAAGCACCGGCUAACUCUGUGCCAGCAGCCGCGGUAAUACAGAGGGUGCAAGCGCUAAUCGGAAUUACUGGGCGUAAAGCGCGCGUAGGUGGUUCGUUAAGUUGAAUGUGAAAGCCCCGGGCUCAUCCUGGGAACUGCAUCCAAAACUGGCGAGCUAGAGUAGGGCAGAGGGUGGUGGAAUUUCCUGUGUAGCGGUGAAAUGCGUAGAUAUAGGAAGGAGCACCAGUGGCGAAGGCGACCACCUGGGCUCAUACUGACACUGAGGUGCGAAAGCGUGGGGAGCAAACAGG
rnacentral:rRNA from 1 species